CCAACUGUGUAGUGUUUUUCUAGUAACUUUCGUAUGGAGUUGGAUCUCCUUAUACAGUCUUCAUGGUUGGUCUUCAUGGCUAAUAGCGCCGACACCAUAGCGCUCAGCACCCUGUUACUUUCUUCGGAGGAGUGGAAUAACGGAAUCGCUAUUAAGUACAACAAAAUUUUAUUUCUGUUAGCACACCGUUCCACGUGUCUCAGUUUCUUCUCUCUUUGAAACAUUCCUACGCACGUUCGAUUCUCCCGCGCUUCAAUUGUUUUUUCCCCACUACUCGGAGUGUCGUAAAGGUCGAUCCCCACAGCAUAUACUUGAAAACGACCUCUAGCGUUGAUUUCUUGUAUCUCUGUCGAUAGUCCAGGAAAUAAUCGUAACUCGUAGUUGUGAGUUACUAAUCGAAUCGUGGUCGGUCGAGCUAUCGAAUAUUCGAGUGCCAUCGAGUGCCAUCUAUCACCUAUCGAGUUGCAAGUUGCGUGUGAUACUGAUAGGUGACAAUUUCUUCUUUGCUUCUCUUUGAUUAUAUUUUAGAACGAAGUUGACUCGUUUGUAAAAGAAAAUGGCUGGUGCAGAUUCACCCGAAGAAAAGCUUACUGGAUUUUCCAAAUAUUACAACAGUGUUACCGAUCGAGGUCGAGCAAAUGUAGCCAAAUCAACGUAUGUUGCCGUUGCUCUGCUAGCUCUUUACUUUUAUUUAAAACCGAAGAAAAAGGCUGCAAACUGACUCGAAGAUGAAAGCCGAUAGACGUAUUAUGUAAUAAUAUUUUCUGUAUAUUAACUUGGCUCUGUUGUGAAAUAAAGAAGAGACGGAUUUUUUCCCGAUUGUUCGUCAUUGA